rnacentral:misc_RNA from 1 species
CUGACCAAGGAGGGGGCAGCUGAUGACCCAUGGCGUCUAAGAUCAACGUACCAAUCUCAAAAAUACCAGGCUGAAUUCCCCAUGGGUCCUGUGACCUCAGCCCAUGCGGGGACCUACAGGUGCUACGGCUCACAGAGCUCCAAACCCUACCUGCUGACUCACCCCAGUGACCCCCUGGAGCUCGUGGUCUCAGGACCGUCUGGGGGCCCCAGCUCCCCGACAACAGGCCCCACCUCCACAUCUGCAGGCCCUGAGGACCAGCCCCUCACCCCCACCGGGUCGGAUCCCCAGAGUGGUGAGUGACGGGCUCUGAGUGGGAGGUGGGCAGGGUCCAGGGGAGGCAGGGGUGGGUUCUGUCCUAGGUUCAGUCUCCUCUGGAGGUGGUGAUAUAGACAGGCUCCUCCCCUGCUUGGGCCUCAGUUUCUCCAAAUGUAAAGGUGAGAGGCCUGCGGGUGGG